GUGGGGAAUAUUGGACAAUGGGGGGAACCCUGAUCCAGCCAUGCUGCGUGUGUGAAGAAGGCCUUUUGGUUGUAAAGCACUUUAAGCGAGGAGGAGGCUACCGAGAUUAAUACUCUUGGAUAGUGGACGUUACUCGCAGAAUAAGCACCGGCUAACUCUGUGCCAGCAGCCGCGGUAAUACAGAGGGUGCAAGCGUUAAUCGGAUUUACUGGGCGUAAAGCGUGCGUAGGUGGCAAAUUAAGUCAAAUGUGAAAUCCCCGAGCUUAACUUGGGAAUUGCAUUCGAUACUGGUUGGCUAGAGUAUGGGAGAGGAUGGUAGAAGUCCAGGUGUAGCGGUGAAAUGCGUAGAGAUCUGGAGGAAUACCGAUGGCGAAGGCAGCCAUCUGGCCUAAUACUGACACUGAGGUACGAAAGCAUGGGGAGCAAACAGGAUUAGAUACCCUGGUAGUCC
rnacentral:rRNA from 1 species